GAUGAACGCUAGCUACAGGCUUAACACAUGCAAGUCGAGGGACCGGCGCACGGGUGAGUAACACGUAGCCAACCUGCCCUUUACUCGGGGAUAGCCUUUCGAAAGAAAGAUUAAUACCCGAUAUAAAGGAUGGGGAUGCGUUGCAUUAGGUUGUUGGUGAGGUAACGGCCCACCAAGCCUUCGAUGGAUAGGGGUUCUGAGAGGAAGGUCCCCCACAUUUGAACUGAGACACGGACCAAACUCCUACGGGAGGCAGCAGAGAGGAAUAUUGGGCAAUGGGCGCUAGCCAGAACCAGCCAAGUAGAGUGAAGGAUGAAGGAUUAUGGGUCGUAAACUUCUGUGAUAUAAGAAUAUUUAUUAUAUGAAUAAGGAUCGGCUAACUCCGUGCCAGCAGCCGCGGUAAUUC
rnacentral:rRNA from 1 species